AAUAGAUACCCGGGUAGUCCACGCCGUAAACGAUGGAUGCUAGCUGUUAUGCGUAUCGACCCGUGUAGUAGCGAAGCUAACGCGUUAAGCAUCCCGCCUGGGGAGUACGAACGCAAGUUUAAAACUCAAAGGAAUUGACGGGGACCCGCACAAGCGGUGGAGCGUGUUCUUUAAUUCGAGGCUAAGCGAAGAACCUUACCAGGGCUUGACAUCCUUGGAAUUUCUCCGAAAAGAGAGAGUACUUUAUUGGACCAAGUGACAGGUGCUGCAUGGCCGUCGUCAGCUCGUGUCGUGAGAUGUUUGGUUAAGUCCAUUAACGAGCGCAACCCUUAUGAAUAGUUGUAUUUUUCUAUUCAGACUGCCCCGGUAACGGGGAGGAAGGGGGGAUGAUGUCAGGUCAGUAUUGCCCUUACGCCCUGGGCUAGAAACGCGCUACAAUGGCCGGUACAAUGCGCUGCCAACCCGGCAGGGGGAGCAAAUCGCAUCAAAGCCGGUCCCAGUUCGGAUAAGAGGCUGAAACUCGCCUCUUUGAAGCCGGAAUCGCUAGUAAUCGGU
rnacentral:rRNA from 1 species